rnacentral:rRNA from 1 species
UACGUAGGGUGCGAGCGUUUGUCCGGAAUUACUGGGCGUAAAGCGCACGUAGGCGGCACUGUUAGUCAGGCGUGAAAUUCCUGGGCUCAACCUGGGGACUGCGCUUGAUACGGCAGAGCUAGAGGAUGGAAGAGGCUCGCGGAAUUCCCAGUGUAGAGGUGAAAUUCGUAGAUAUUGGGAAGAACACCGGUGGCGAAGGCGGCGAGCUGGUCCAUUACUGACGCUGAGGCGCGACAGCGUGGGGAGCAAACAGG